rnacentral:rRNA from 1 species
CAGUAGCCGCGGGAAAACGAAGGGGGCUAGCGUUGUUCGGAAUUACUGGGCGUAAAGCGCACGUAGGCGGACUUUUAAGUCAGGGGUGAAAUCCCGGGGCUCAACCCCGGAACUGCCUUUGAUACUGGAAGUCUUGAGUAUGGUAGAGGUGAGUGGAAUUCCGAGUGUAGAGGUGAAAUUCGUAGAUAUUCGGAGGAACACCAUUGGCGAAGGCGGCUCACUGGACCAUUACUGACGCUGAGGUGCGAAAGCGUGGGGAGCAAACAGGAUUAGAUACCCCUGUAGUCCCUGUCUCUUAUAC